AGCGAACGCUGGCGGCAUGCUUAACACAUGCAAGUCGCACGGGCAGGGGCAACUCUGUCAGUGGCGGACGGGUGAGUAACGCGUAGGUAUCUAUCCUUGGGUGGGGGACAACCGUGGGAACUACGGCUAAUACCGCAUGAUGACUGAGGUCCAAAGCCCGCGAGGUGCCUGGGGAGGAGCCUGCGUACGAUUAGCUUGUUGGUGGGGUAAAGGCUUACCAAGGCGAUGAUCGUUAGCUGGUCUGAGAGGAUGAUCAGCCACAUUGGGACUGAGACACGGCCCAAACUCCUACGGGAGGCAGCAGUGGGGAAUAUUGGACAAUGGGCGCAAGCCUGAUCCAGCAAUGCCGCGUGUGUGAAGAAGGUCUCGGAUUGUAAGCACUUUCGACGGGGACGAUGAUGACGGUACCCGUAGAAGAA
rnacentral:rRNA from 1 species